rnacentral:snRNA from 1 species
CUUGACUUUCCAGAUCAGCUUGUCCCUAUCUCCUUCUGCAAAUAGUACAACCAGUCUCCAACACCCCAAUGGAAAAAGGAUGUGAGGGCGAUCUGGCUGCGAAAUCUGUCACCCCAUUGAUCGCCAGGGUUGAUUCGGCUGAUCUGGCUGGCUAGGCGGGUGUCCCCUUCCUCCCUCACCACUCUAUGUGAGCCCCUCCUGAAGCUGCAUGCUCAGUCGUAGAGGAUGACCAUCCCUGAUGGAGGACGGGUCUUCGGUCAAGGGUAUACAAGGAGCUGCACUCCCCUGCUGGAACCUCCAAACGAGCUCUAACUGACAAAUAAAAAUUGUAUAUAUUUAUCAAGUAUAUCAUUUUGAAAAAUGCAUACAUUGUAGAAUGCUAAAUCAAGCUAAUUAACAUAUGCAUUACAUCACUUAUUUAUUCUUUUUUGUGGUGAGAACACUUAAAAUCUACUCUUUGCAAUUUUCAAAACUACAUGCUUUAUUAUUAAUUAUAAUCAGUAUGUUGUACAAUAGAUCUCUUGAACUUAUUCCUCCUACCUAAAAUUCCGUAUCCUUGUUUACUGGUUUUCAAUUUUUGUAACCAACCUAUAGUCAGAGUACAUAACACAUUCAGUCACAGAAUGAAAUGUAGAUGAUAUAAGGUAUGUUGAUGUAAAAAAACUGAUGGCUGAGGGAGGGUGAGAAAUGAGAAGGAAGAGAAAUUGAGUGGGAGAAGGCUGAGAAGUACCAAAUUCCUUGACUGACAGAGUGGGGAGUCACUUUAGGCCUAAAGUUGAUGAAUCAAGAAAACAAAUGCAAUUACAUCAUUGAAAGCUGUUAAUGUAUAUCAAACAGAAAUUGAAUACAAAACUUUUUUAAAAACUGGGAAGAGUAGGGGGUAUUGAGUUAAAUUCUUCAUCUCUUAUAAAGGGAAACAAUAGCUCAAAAUUGAAACAAAAAUCAAAACAGAGGUAUAUGCAUAUAUUUAAAGAAGGAACCACACAUGGAACAUAAAGAAAUGGUCAGAAGUGGGACUCAGAGAAGAGUGGACUAAAGAUGGGGAAAAAAGGGAGAGGGAUUCUAUUGUCAAUGUGUACCUUUCUAUGUCAUUUGAAUUAUUUCUAUGUGCAUUUAUACCUUUUACAUGUUUAAAAGAAAAAAAAAAUCAUUGGUAAAGUCCCAGCUCUCCGGACUCCUCACUGAAGCCAAUGAAGUGCACCAGCAAGAACAUAGGACAGGGUCAAAUUUAGAGUCUUCUCUGCUCUUGGAAAAAGCAUUUAAUUUCUCUGGACUUCCAAAGGCACCACCUGCAAAGGAGGCCAGUGGUAAAUCCAUUUACAUGUGAAAAAUACACAAAUGCAUACAUUUUUAAAUGCAAAAAAACAAAUACUUAAAAAACUCUACUUAACACUAACCUUAAUACUACUCGAUGAGACGCAUUACCCCCAUUUUGUUCGGACUCAGUAUACUGCAAUUUAAAGAUGAUACUAAAAUCUGUGAGGACACAAAUGGGGUGUUAGCCUGUGUCACAGCAACACAGCAAAGAAAGUGACAUAUAAUCUUUAAAAGUGAAGAAAAUGAUGAAAAUUAGCAAGAACUGCUCUUUGAUAAGCAGAAGAGCAGGCCAGUACCUCUGCUGACAACCUGAAAGUACCCUGCCUCCAAGCUGAGCAACGCUCAGGAUCCCAGAGACCGGCUGAGUUCCAUCUUCUAUUUACAGCUUAUGAAGAAGAUACCUAUACCUGAGCUCUCCCUUCUCAGGACUAACUAACCCAAGCAAUCAGACUGGGCUCAGAAUUAAGCCCAUCUGUGAAUUACAGCAGAUCCAAAAAGUCAUAAAGUCAUGGUUUUCAGUCUUGAAGCUAUGGAUCAAUUUUGCCUAGUUCAUGGCCCAGAACCUUCCUUCCCAGAGCAGUCCUACAGUGCAAAACCUUCAGGUGAAAGAAGAGAAACAAACUCAUCAAGCAUGUCGAUGCUCUAGCAUCAAAGUUCCCCAAGGAUACCUGGAAAUCUAUGAAACAUGUAGAUAACACAAGUUUUAAACCACUCUCUAAAAACACAAAGUUUGACCAAUGCUUAUCUAAUAACCAAUUUACGAGAAUUUUGUUUGUCUUUAAUUAACUCACAUCUACUUUAACAGAUCUAACAAUACUAUUUGCCUCCAAUAUUAACAAUAGAGAAAUAUAGUUUAAACUAGGGAUUGGCAAACUCUGAAAAGGGCCAGAGAGUAAAUAUUUUAGGUUUUGUGAGCCAGUUUCUGUCUUAACUACUAAACUAUGCCACUGUUGUGUGAAAGUGGUCAGAGACAAUUGGUAGAUGAAUGACCAUGGCUAUGUCAUGAAACAUUAUUAAACCACUUAAAAAUGUAAAAACCAUUCUUAGCACAUGGCCCUAUAAAGACAGGUGGCAGACAGAUUUCACUCAUAGUUAGCUGACUCAGCAGAGUUCAAAACCAGAGGCCUUGGAGACAAAAGAAGGAAGAUUAUUUGUCAAGAACUUCAUUCUUUCCCUAACCUCCCACCUCCACCCCACUUUCGUAAAAAAUGCUAUUUAGAGGACAAAAUGAAAUGAUCAGGAGGAAAGUCUCUAUCCACUCUCCUUAUUUUCCAGUUUCUUUCCCUGCUUUUUCUCAUCUCAAGAAGAUAUUUAAAAUGUUGUAACCAGAAUCAUCAAAAUUAACAGAAAUAAAAACAAUACACUGAAAAGUAAACAGUCUGCCUGAGAAAACUGCAGACAUUUCAAAACAUUUUUGCAGACAAUUUUUAUACUACCUUAUUAAUCAAUAUAUCUUAUCUUCCUAUGCUAAGAGGAAUAAAUCUGGAUAAGUGCCAACCUGUAAUUCAGCUGGAAGAAAGUAAAAGAUGAUCUAUUUACAAUGACCUGACCCUAAUGUUUUUCUCAGAAUACACACGUCCAAUUGGAAAAGAAUUUUUUUACGUUCCAUUAUAAGAAUCUUCCAUUUUUUCCUUCAACUUACCUAUGAACAUAAUCUAUCCUUGAAAUUUUUUGUAACAUACUACAAUCUAGAAUCCUAAAUGUGUAAGUGAAUUUCAGGCAUCCUGAGAAAGAAUAGAGUUCACCCAUCAAAAAAUGCUAAUUGGCUUUUUGAGCUUCGGCCUUUUGAUCAAUCCUUCCUAAAACACAGAAGUGCUAACGACAUGUACUGGGUAUAAAGAAGAGGCCACAGCCAACACAGUUUCAACAGGGAUGAUUCCCACUCCCAGAGGAUAUUGAGAGCAGUGUCUGGAGACAUUGUUGGUUCCUACAACUAGGGGUACAGAGAGAGAACAGUGAUGUUGGCAGAUAUCGGGUAGACAGCAAGGAUGCUGCUAGACACCCUACAACGCACAGGACAGCCCUUAACACGAAAGAAUUCUCUGGCCCAAAAUGUCAACAGCAAAGAGGUUACAAAGCCUGGAUAGAGGCAGCAAAUGGUAGAGUAUGUCCAGUUUUAAACUAAAGUACUUUCUCUUCUUUAGAAAACAGUAUGUUAGAUUUAGAAAUUUAACAUUAAGAUAUUUAAGAGAUACCAACCAGGCGCAGAGGCUCACGCCUGUAAUCCCAACAUGUUGGGAGGUCAAGGCGG